CCAGUUUCCAAACCAUUCCCGAAACUUUGGAGCACGAGAGACAACGGAGAAGGACAGAGGAGCAGACGAGGCAAAACGUUUGGCUCCGUCACGAAACAAGGUAUUUCCAUAUGAAUAGGAUUAGCGGAGGACCGGGGAGGUAUAGGAGUAAUACGCCUCAGCUCGCCGCGGUGCACUCCACAAACCUGCACCCCCCACUUUCAUUUCAUUUGAUUCUUAAAUCUUAUAAAGUGUGUAUCAGCGUGUAACGGCCUCCCGCGGAGCCUAAAAACCUGAUUUACUCAAAUGAAUGUGCCACGUCAGAGCUGCUGUUUAUGUAAUACGCAGUUUGUCAGAGCCGUUUGAGGUGGGCACAAAUCCCCCCGUCCCCUGGGCUCUUAACGCAACCUACAAACGGGAAUAUGGAUUUUGUGAGUGAAAUAUUAAAG